rnacentral:rRNA from 1 species
AUACGGAGGAUCCGAGCGUUAUCCGGAUUUAUUGGGUUUAAAGGGUGCGCAGGCGGCCAUUUAAGUCCGCGGUUAAAUCGUGGGGCUCAACCCCAUUCUGCCGUUGAUACUGGGUGGCUUGAUUGCGGUCGAGGUUGGCGGAAUUCGUUGUGUAGCGGUGAAAUGCAUAGAUAUGACGAAGAACACCGAUUGCGUAGGCAGCUGACCAGACCGCAAAUGACUCUCAUGCACGAAAGUGCGGGGAUCGAACAGGAUUAGAUACCCUGGUAGGCCGCACAGGAAACUAUGAAUACUUGUUUUCGGCGAUAUAAUGUCGGAGGCAAAGCGAAAGCGAUAAGUAUUCCACCUGGGGAGUACGCCGGCAACGGUGAAACUCAAAUGAAGUGACGGGG